UGACCAAAGAACGAAUCGUCGAAUCGGAUGUCUGAGUUAAUUAGUCAGAGAAAUUCGAAUCGACAUUCGACCUGUGGUCAU
rfam:Brugia pahangi genome assembly, scaffold: BPAG_contig0000199